AGUGAACGCUGGCGGUAGGCCUAACACAUGCAAGUCGAACGGCAGCACAGUAAGAGCUUGCUCUUACGGGUGGCGAGUGGCGGACGGGUGAGGAAUACAUCGGAAUCUACUUUUUCGUGGGGGAUAACGUAGGGAAACUUACGCUAAUACCGCAUACGACCUACGGGUGAAAGCAGGGGAUCUUCGGACCUUGCGCGAUUGAAUGAGCCGAUGUCGGAUUAGCUAGUUGGCGGGGUAAGGGCCCACCAAGGCGACGAUCCGUAGCUGGUCUGAGAGGAUGAUCAGCCACACUGGAACUGAGACACGGUCCAGACUCCUACGGGAGGCAGCAGUGGGGAAUAUUGGACAAUUGGCGCAAGCCUGAUCCAGCCAUACCGCGUGGGUGAAGAAGGCCUUCGGGUUGUAAAGCCCUUUUGUUGGGAAAGAAAAGCAGCAGGUUAAUACCCCGCUGUUCUGACGGUACCCAAAGAAUAAGCACCGGCUAACUUCGUG
rnacentral:rRNA from 1 species